AUCGCUGAUGGAUGAGCCCGCGCCAGAUUAGGUAGUUGGGUUGAGGUAAUGGCCGUCACCAAGCUGACGAUCUGUAGCUGGUCUGAGAGGAUGAUCAGCCACACUGGGACUGAGACACGGCCCAGACUCCUACGGGAGGCAGCAGUGGGGAAGUAUUGGACAAUGGGCGAAAGCCUGAUCCAGCAAUACCGAGUGAGUGAUGAAGGCCUUAGGGUUGUAAAGACUCUUUUAGUCAGGGAAGAUAAUGACGUUACCUGCAGAAAAAGACCCCGGCCUAACUCCGUGCCAG
rnacentral:rRNA from 1 species